rnacentral:misc_RNA from 1 species
UUUCCGUAGGUGAACCUGCGGAAGGAUCAUUAUUGUAUAACCGAGGUGCGAGGGCUGUCGCUGACCCGAAAGGUCGUGCACGCCCGAGUGCCCUCACACACAUCCAUCUCACCCCUAUGUGCGCCACCGCGGGGGUCCCCCUUUGGCUUGUUCGGAGGGGGGCUUACGUUUUCACACAAACUUUGUAUGCAGUGUAGAAUGUAUUUUUUGUUUUUGCGAUCACGCAAUCAAUACAACUUUCAACAACGGAUCUCUUGGCUCUC